rnacentral:pre_miRNA from 1 species
AGAUUUCGUCACAUACCAGACCACAAGGGCUGAUGAGACUCCCAAGAUAAGUGAAGUG